GGUGACUAUCAGUCAGUACAUUCUGCAGUUUUUCAAGAAUGUUCCUGUUCCUCUCAGAUGGAGAAUGGAACUUGGCCUAUCUUUGACCAGAGGCAGAAAGCUGGGACUUGGCCUAGUCUUGACCCAAGGCAGUUUUAUAUUGACAACACACACGGAAAAUAAUGUUAUGGAAGAGUGAAUUGACACAGGAAAUGCAGGGACCAAGAAUGGAUCAGAGACUGAAGGCAAGACCAUCCAGAGACCAUCCCACCUAUGGAUCCAUCCCAUCUGAAGACACCAAAUCCAGACACUAUUGCUGAUGCCAAGAAGUGCUUGUUGACAGAAACCUGGUAUAGCUAUUCUCUGAGAAGCGUUGGGAGGCCCUUACAAAUACAGAUACAGAUACAGUGAAUCAUUGGACUUAGCACCUGGACCACAAUGGAAGAAUUAGGGGAUGGACUAUAGGAGCUGAAGUGGUUUGCAACCCCAUAGGAAGAAAAACAAUAUCACCAACCAGAUCCCCCAAAGCUCCCAGUGACUAAACCACCUACCAAAGAGUACACAUGGAGGUUACCCAUGGCUCCAUCUACAUACAUAGCAGAGGAUUGCCUUAACUGGCAUCCGUGGGACAGCCCUUGGUCCUGUGGAGAUUCAAAACUCCAGUGUAAGGGAACGCUAGAGAGGUGAGGCAGAAUGGGUGAGUGGGGAACAGCCUCAUAGAGGCAAAGGAGAGGG
rnacentral:lncRNA from 1 species